rnacentral:rRNA from 1 species
AACGUAGGAGACAAACGUUAUCCGGAGUUACUGGGCGUAAAGCGUGCGCAGGCGGCUUCUCAAGUCAGGGGUGAAAGCCCAGAGCUCAACUCUGGAAUUGCCUUUGAGACUGAGUGGCUUGAGUACGAGAGAGGUGAGUGGAAUUCCCAGUGUAGAGGUGAAAUUCGUAGAUAUUGGGAAGAACACCGGUGGCGAAGGCGGCUCACUGGCUCGUAACUGACGCUCAUGCACGACAGCGUGGGGAUCAAACAGG